rnacentral:sRNA from 19 species
GUCAACGACCUAAGCGUUGAGUGUUCUCCCCAUGUCUAAAAGACAGGGGCUUGCAGUUAACUCUAGUUGACCAGUUUAAGUCCAUCAACGGGCUACGUUUACGGUAAGUGUUCAAGAACUCACCUUGGGGUGCUUGCCAGCCCUAAGCUCUGAA